rnacentral:tRNA from 1 species
GGCUAUAGCUCAGUUGAGAGCGCUUGCAUGGCAUGCAAGAGUGUCAGCGGCUCGAUCCCGCUUUAGGCUCCA